rnacentral:rRNA from 1 species
CGGGGGGAGCAAGCGUUGUUCGGAUUUACUGGGCGUAAAGGGCGCGUAGACGGCCACCGCAAGUCGACUGUGAAAUCUCCGGGCUUAACCCGGAAAGGUCAGCCGAUACUGCGGGGCUAGAGUGCAGAAGGGGCAACUGGAAUUCUCGGUGUAGCGGUGAAAUGCGUAGAUAUCGAGAGGAACACCUGCGGCGAAGGCGGGUUGCUGGGCUGACACUGACGCUGAGGCGCGAAAGCUAGGGGGAGCGAACGGGAUUAGAUACCCCGGUAGUCCUAGCCUUAAACGAUGAAUGCUUGGUGUCUGGGGUUCUAUAGUCCCCGGGUGCCGUCGCUAACGCUUUAAGCAUUCCGCCUGGGGAGUACGGUCGCAAGACUG